AUAGAAUUUACAAGUCCAUCAAAAUAGUAAUUUAUUUUAUGCAUAAUAAAAAUAUAAAUUAUAACGAAAAAAUGGCAUGUAUUAAUAAUUAAUUAUUAUGCCUUACUACCCCAAAAAGCGUGGCAUUGGUUCAUUCUUAAAAACAAUGAAUAGAAACAUGGAUAAUAAAAUGUAUUAUAAUAUAUUUCAUAAGAGCAUGGAUAUUUAUUAUAAACUAAUGCUUUAAUGAGUAACAAUUGAUCGGCAAGGUGAUUGUGUAGUUAUUUUUUAAACGUUUUUUAUACUUUAAAGAUAAUACAACAUUGCAUUGUUUGUAAUAAUAUUAUGAUAAUUCCCGCCAAAAUAUAUUUAUUAUUAUCACAGAACAAUAUAGAAUAGACACUCGGUCAGCUGUGUGGGUUUAUGUAUGAACUAUGAAGACGUAUUGGACUCCACAAGUUAUACCGUAUCCAUAUCUGAUAGAACGUUGGCAACGUGUUCCCUCUUUGUUACAAAAAUUUAAAAACGGAUACAACGCAAUCAUAGAGUAAUAUUACUCUAUGAACGCAAUGGCCAAUGGCAUAUUGACUAUUCUUAGAUCAUAUCACGAUUAAAGAUAUACUCAUGACUAAAUAAACUUUAUUUAGUCAUGGAUAUACUUAUUACCAUAGAACAAUGCUUAUUACAUAUUAUGAUAUUACUUAAGUAUAUUAUCUUAAAUCGUUGAUCAUAUGCAAUAGUAAAAUUGAAUAGUAUAACUUAUAAGUGUAUAACGUCAUGAUCUAAGGCGCAUAGGGAAUAAAAACACCUACCACCCGGCUUGUAGGCUGCCAUUUUGAGUUUUCUCGUGGAAUAAACAAUUUUAUCUGCGCGAUAUUAUCAUGGAAUAAAAUUGUAUUGUAAUGUUGCCACUUAAUUUUAAAACUCACCGUAAGAAUACCAAGAAAUGAUUUUAGCUUCACAGAAAAUGAAGUUCCUGAAAAUUAAACGCCGUUGUUGGAAUUCAUGUCAUUUUCCAAUCUCCAUUCUACUGUUCCAUACUUUAAUAAAUUAUAGAACUUCCUAAUUUAUAGUUUUAGAAUUGUCUAAGUAUUUUUUUUUUCAAUUAUAAAUAAUAAAGUGAUUUAAAACAGAAAAGUUUAUUUAUUUAUAAACAUUUUAUACAUAAACAUACAUAUUAUUUUGAUGUCACAAUUAUUAUGGUCCGAAAGUGUUGUAAAGUUAGUUGCAGGCAAACAUAUUUUAAAGGCCUGAGUUUGUUCAAGGUCAGAAAAAUGGAUGAAUGUGAUAAGGGGUAAUGAAACCAGAAACGAAGACUACUUUGUUUAUGAAAAACAUUUUAAGAGUAGUGAUUUUGAACAUAAUGGCAUCGAUGUAAAUGUAAAAAAAUUAAAGUUAUCUGCAGUACCCAGUUUAUUUUUACCAGUACUAAAUAAUUUAUUAUUUUUUUAUUUAUAAAAAUUAAUUAUUAAAAUUGCAUUCAUUAUACCUACCUACUUAUAAAGGAGAUUAAAAUAGUAUACAAUGAAUCUGAGAAUAGAAAUAACCAUAUUGAAUUAUCAUUUGAUUUUGAGGAAAAUAAUUUGAAUUAUGAUUAUAUCAGUUAUGAAAAUUUACCAUUGAACAUAACUGAAAUGAGUAUUUGUAAUGAAAAUUCACCAAUUCAAAUAAAUCACGGGACGCCAAAAAUAUUAUUUUCUCAGAUGCAGCUUAUGAAGUAUACCAGAAUACUUUCUAUUUAAAAAAUAAGGGGGGGAGAUUAUCUGUUAAAGUAAAAAAAAAGGAUAUUUACUUAAAUAGUAUUAUGUAUUGGGUAAAACUAGUUUUAAGAUUAUACCAAUCCAGGUAGUAGUGAUCAAUGAGUAUUGCUCACUAAUAUGAAUUUGUAUAUGAAUAUUUUAUUUCAAGUUGAUGGUUCAUAAAAAAUACAAAUAACUAAAAUAAAUAAUUACAAUUACAAAAAAUAUAAAUAAAAAUAAAAAUAAAGUAAUAUACCUAGUACAAUAUCUAGGGCACCUAUUUAAUUGAGCAAACAGAUAUUAUAUUUAUGUAUCAAAAUAAAUACCCGAUUACAUGUUCGUAUAUAUAAGUCCAUAUAAGUUGAGCAGGUCGGUCAAUGUUGUUAAAUCAUAUUAUAUUUUUUUAUGUUGUACCUAUAUAAUAAACAAAUAAACAAUAUGUGUUAUUUAUUAGUCAGUUAGCACGCCUUUCCUGAAACAACAAUUAAUAAAUAAAACAUAAUACAUUAAUUGAUAUUCAUAGCUAAUAGUUUUACACUAGCGGCGUAAUCUUUACAUUUAGUUAUACUGACGGUAUGCAGAAUUCUAAAUUCUAUGUCCGCAAAUCAACACAUACUGACAUACUUAUGUCGUGUAAAUUAAAUUAAUUAUAUGAAUUGAAUUAAAUUCACAAAUAUGUUCCUUAUUUACAUGGAGACCUAUUUUUUUCACAUCAAGUGUAUAUAUUUUUUUUAAAGUGAUACAGUAAUGCAUAUUGCUGGAUGCACACAAAUGUCUGUUGUUUAAAUGUACCCUAGGAUAGUUAAUAAUAAAUAAUGUACAAAUGUAGUAUGUACAAUGUAUAUUUUAGACUGACUGACUGACUGACUGAUGUAUAUUUUAAAUCCAAGAUAUAUUAUAGACUUAGUUAUGAUUCAAUGUGUGAACCAAUAAUUAAUAAUAAAACAUAAUAUAUUAAUUGAUAUUCAUAGCUAUUUUUUUACGUAAGUGGCAUAAUGUCUACAUUUAGUUAUACUGACAGUACAGCGAUGGGCGUAGCCGCGUAGGUAGGAAAUAUUUUCGGAGGGGGUUUUUGUCUAAAUCCUAAAUAAUAUGCGAGUUAAUAAUAUUCUCCAACAAAUUCACAAAAAGCUCAACUGCUCAAGAUUGUUUUAUUUAAUUUCGGGGGGUGUUUGAACACCCAACCCCCCCUUACCUACGCCCAUGAGUACAGCUGUAACUGAUCUUAACGCACAAAAAACAAUUCUAAAUUCUGGGUCUUAUAUCAUGUAAAUUUAUUUAAUUACAUUUAUUAUUCAUCGACAGAACUAUUUCCUUCCCAUCAAGUAUUUAUUUUUAUUUAAUAAGUUAAACUAACAUUAACUAGACAUUGCUAGGCGUACACACAUAUUUCUGUUGUUUAAAUUUACUCAAAGAUAGUACAUAAUAAAUACUGUUACAUUUUUAUUUUAGACUGACUGAUGUGUAUUAUAAGUCCAGGAUAAUAUUGUAGAUUUGAGUACCUAUUGUUGAACAAAAAUAUUAUACUGGAUUUUAUUUUAAUGAGCAACGUUCAACUGUUUUUAAUUUUUAUAUUAAAACCCAUCUGGACCUACGGGCUCCAGCUCUGGGGUAGUGCAAAAAAAUCAAAUAUUCAAAAAAUUCAAGUUUUUCAAAACAUUGCCCUAAGAAAAAUCACAAAUGCCCCUCCCUUUGCAUCCAAUCUUACGCUUCAUAAUGAUCUAAGAAUAACAACAGUACUUGACGAAGCUAAAUGCUACUAUAAAAGAUUUCACACUAAACUACCUCUUCAUCCUAAUCCUCUAAUUAAAAAACUAUCUACCUAGUCCAUUCCAGGUAAUCCACCUAGACGGCUUAAGCGAAGAUGGUGCCGAGACCUUCUGUCUAAUAACUAAAACUAGCUUACCUUAAAACUUAAGAACACAAAAUUAGGCAGUACCAUCAAUGGGUGGUUUCUUCCAUCAAAAAAUUCACAUGUAAAUACCCUUUGCACAUUUGCUUAUUGUUCUAGUUAAGAACAGAUUGUAAAUU